rnacentral:tRNA from 1 species
ACUCAGAUAGCUAAAAAGAUAGCAUUACAUUGAAGAUGUGGGGUUGAUAGGAUUAUCUUUGAGUG